rnacentral:tRNA from 1 species
AUUCUUGUAGUUAAGUAACAACGGUGGUUUUUCAAGCCACUAGUCUAGGUUAGAGUCCUGGUAAGAAUG